rnacentral:lncRNA from 1 species
GAGGUAGAACUAAGACAGGCAAGGACAGCCCAGGAGAUGCGGGGGCCAGAACUAUGUAGGGCCAGGGGUAGAAGUAGGAGUAGAACCAAGAGUAGGGCCAAGAGCAGAACUAAGAGUAGAGCCAAGAGUAGAACUAAGAGCCAAGAGUAGGACUAGAUAGAACCCAAGAGUAGAACUAGGAGUGAGCCAGGAAGUAGAACUAAGAGUAGGGCAGAAGUAGAAGCUAAGAGUAGGGCCAGGAGUAGAACUAAGAGUAGAGGUCAGGAGUCAGAAACUAAAGAGUAGAGCCAGAGCAGGGCCACGGAGUAGGCCAAGAAGAUAAGACACUAAAGAGCAGGAAACGCAGGAGUGGGGCCAGGACUACGUAUGGCCAGGGGUAGAAGUAGGAGUAGAACCAAGAGUAGGGCCAAGAGUAGAACUAAGAGUAGAGUCAAGAGUAGAACUAAAGAAGGUAGGCCAAGAGUAGGAACUAAAGAGUAAGAAGCCAAAGAGUAGGACUAGGAGUAGGAAACCAAGAGUAAGAACUAAGGGUAGACGCCAGGAGUAGAAACUAAGAGUAAGGCCCAGGAGUAGAAACUAAGAGUAGGGGCCAAGAGUAAAGAAACUAAGAGUAAGAGCAUGGAGUAGAACUACGAAGUAGAGCAAGAGGCAGGGGGCCAGGAGUAAAGAGCCAAGAGUAGAAGCUAAGAGCAGGAACCAGGAGUGGGGCUAGGGACUACGUAGGGCCAGGGGUAGAAAUAAGAGUAGAGCCAAGAGUAGAACUAAGAGUAGAGCCAAGAGUAGGGCAGGAAUAGGGCCAAAGAGUAGAACUAAGAGCAGGACCAGAAGUGGGGGCCAGGACUAUGUAGAGCCAGGAGUAGAAAUAAGAGUAGAACCAAGAGUAGAACUAAGAGUAGAGCCAAGAGUAGAACUAAGAGCAGGACCAGGAGUGGGGCCAGGACUACAUAGAGCCAGGUGUAGAAAUAAGGGUAGAACCAGAGUAGAACUAAAGAGCCAAGAGUAGGGCCAGGAGUAGAACUAGGAGUAGGGCCGGUAGUAGAACUAAGAGUAGGGCCAGGAGUAGAACUAAGAGCCAAGAGUAGGCUCCAAAGAGUCAGACGUCAGGAGUAGAACUAAGAGCCAAGAGUAGACUGAAGGAGUUAAGGAGUCAGGAGUAGAACUAAGAGUAGGGCCAGGAGUAGAACUAAGAGUAGGGCCAAGAGUAGAACUAAGAGUAGAGCCAGGAGUAGAACUAAGAGUAGAGCCAAGAGCAGGGUCCAGAGUAGGAGCAAGAAGUAGAACUAAGAGCAGGACAGGAGUGGGCCAGAAUAUGUAGGGCCAGGGGAGAAGUUAAGAGUAGAAC